UGGUACAUGUAUGUGUUAAAGUGGACCCCAUUCUGCAGUUGGAUCUUCACGGAGGACUGGUUCAUGUCGACAGGAUCAUGUCCAAGCUCGGCCCAAAUCGGCGAGCCCCCCAGCGCUCCGGACGGCGGCAGACAAACAGCGGGAGGGAGAGGGAGAGAGAGAGCGAGCCAGCCAGCGAGUGAGGCGCACCCCCCCCUGCCUCCCGCCCCCCCCAGCGCCAAAUCCCCGACGGAUGACGCAAAUGUAGCCAUCCAACACGAUCCGUUUGAGCCUCAGAGCCGAGCCGGAGAGCUGAGAACCAGCAUAUCCUCUCCACAGCUAUAAAUUCCUGUCAGGCAUCCAAGUUUGAUCACCUGAAGGAAACAAGACAUCCCGGGGCAGAGAUAAGGCACAAGAGGGGACAAAGAUGCUACAACGAGACAGGAAAGUCCUUGGCCACCCUAUUCACAAGCAGGACCCUCGAGUUGCAGCCUAAGAGCCAUGUGUCUCUUCAAAGCCACACGCAGACAAAGCCCUAUUAAAUGAACGCUAAUCCAAUAGGCACGUUACUUAAUUAAACCCACGUUUAGCAUUAGCCUCACCGCCAAACGAAAGGCUAUUAAUGAGAUCAAAUAGGCGAUUAAGCGAAGAGGUGGUGCCAAUGGAUUCCUCAGUUGUUAAAAGGCCACGACCAAACUCAAAAUUAAUAUUCUGAUAUUGUAUCAGGCAUCUGUAGUUAAUACUGUUUGAAACAUACUUUAAAAAUUAUUAUGAAAGGUCAUUAUCAGAUUAAAGUUCUGUUAACAUGAAUCAUGAUAUAUAAAUCCAAAGAAAGGCCCACAAACUCCGCCUCCAUGAAGUUUUUAUUAAGCACAAGUCUUUGCAGACUCCCUCCUGUUUAGACAGUCACUGCUCUCUAGGGAUCAGCAAUGGGCGUAAAUUGUGGGAGGAUGAACGGUUGUAACCCCCCUAAUAAUCAAAACCGGCCAAUACAACACCCUGGACCCUUUUAAAUGGGUGGAGACCUCAACCCUUUCAAUGCUCAACCCAAAUUUAUGCCCUUGGGGUCAGCUGUAAUGGAACGAGCGCCCUCUUGUGGUCAGGAAGCACAAUUAUGCAAUACACAAUACGCUGAGGAAAACCUCAGAAAACGUAAUAAAAUCAACACACCAUAAACAAACAAGUGUGCAGGUUCCUACUGACAUAGUUUUGCACAUUUAUAUGUCAAGAAAAUAUUUUUAAUGGGAUGAUUUAUAACUCUGUGGCACUACUGAAACAUUAAUUUCAGGAUUUAUAAUGAUGUAAUCAUGGAAAUACUGCUCACCAAGAGCUGUACGUAUCCUAGGAUUCAACCGUGUGAGCCUCAGGCCAAGGUGCCAGGCCUGCUUGAUCGGAACCCCAGCCCACGUCCAGGCCUGCUCGAUCGGAACCCCAGCCCACGUCCAGGCCUGCUCGAUCGGAACCCCAGCCCACGUCCAGGUCUGCUGGAUCGGAACCCCAGCCCACGUCCAGGCCUGCUCGAUCAGAACCCCAGCCCACGUCCAGGCCUGCCCGAUCGGAACCCCAGCCCACGUCCAGGCCUGCUCGAUGGCUCAGUCUGACCCGGGGGGGCUCCGUCACUCUAGCGGUACCUGCUGGGCCUGCUAAUUGCCACACAGACGUCACCCGUCUCACUCAGCCCCACCGCCACAUCCACGUGGCGUCGUGCGCCAACACCGAGCCCCCCCACCCGAGGGAGUGCCGCAAUCGCGUGCUGGACACCUGCCGGAGAAACACCCACGAAGAAGAAAAACGCGAGCGGCUCCAGCCUGGUGUAUGUAAACCCUCACAUAAGUCAGAUGUACACCCCCAGACUAUUCAGAACCCCUUACAGCAAAAACACACUAGAAAUACAUAUUACAGAACACAUCAAAUAAAUGAAAAGAUGUAAUUUUACUCAUGAGCAUAUGCUGCCUCUCUGUGUUAGUGCCUCCGUAAACUCUGCAUACCUGAUCUACAAACCACAGCCUGAUCUACAAACAAUCAGAGGCCCAUCAAAAGCCACACCCUCCAUUUUAAUUAUCCAGGACAGAAUCAUGAUGAGUCUGGAGCCUAUUCCCGAAGACACAGGGCAGGAGACACCCAGGGCGAGGUGCCCAGUCCAUCACGGCGCACACGAAUCACACACCACCGGCAUUUUUAGAAACAUCUAGUCACCUAACCAUGUGGUUUUGGAGUGUGGAGGCAGAGCCAGGCUGAGAGAACAAGUAAACUCCACACGCAGGGGCGUGUGUGGGAACCGAACCCACGGCCCUGGAGGUGUGAGAACACAGCACUACCCACCAAGCCAUCCCCUGUCCUGCCGGCCGCACGGUCAUCCCAAGCAUCUGCACACCAUCGACAGCUCCAAGGGGUCACAGAGGUCACCCGUCCUCACACCUGUGCUCUGGCGGAUUUGGCCGCCGCCCGACCCAACCCGCCCAGUGCCUGGGGGGGGGGGGCAGAUGGGCCGUGAGGAAGUCGCGGCAGCUGCCUCACGACCCAGGCGUUUCCAAGGAGACGGUGCGCUCAGGCAGCUGGAGGAUGCAAAGGGAGGAGGCUGAGAAAGGCUGCCGCUGCGACAAGCAGAGAGGCAGCGUUGGAAAUGGGGACGAGGGACAGAAAACUGGGGACAGAGGUUGGGAAUGGGCACCGCUGGCAUCGAGGAGGCUCUGCACUGUACAUCCUCCCGCUGCUUGUCCCCAUUACUGUUACAGCCCAUUAACAAAGACUGUAUCACACAGGAGCUGGGAAUACAGUGUCAAACUCCAUUAACUGUUUAUACACCUGGAUAUUCAGUGGAGCAUUUAAGGUAAAGAACCCUCCACAUUAGCACUUCCUGGGACUUGAACCAAUAACCUUCUGGUCAGCUCACACUGCUGAUGUACUGCUAUUAUCCAUGGCAGGAAAUCUCUGAGAUCAGG